rnacentral:rRNA from 1 species
UAUAAUUUAAAGUAGGGCCUGCCCACUGAGUAUUUGAAGGGCCGCAGUAUUUUGACUGUGCAAAGGUAGCAUAAUCAUUAGUUUUUUAAUUGAAAGCUUGUAUGAAUGGUUUGAUGAGAAAAUAACUUUCUAUAUCUAAAUUUUUAAGAACUUUAUUUUUAAGUUAAAAAGCUUAAAUUUUUUUAAAAGACGAGAAGACCCUAUAGAGUUUCAUUAAUUUUUAAAUUUAAAUUUAUAGAAUUAAAUAAUUUUAAUUUAAAUAUUAAUUUGAUUGGGGUGAUUGAAAAAUUUAAUGAACUUUUUCUAUGUAUAAACAUAAAUUUAUG